GAAAUCUACAGCUUCCUGCGGAAGUUAUUACGUUUGCGAAUGAGCUGCUGUAUGCGCAAUGCAGGCGCAUCGUGCCAAAAAGUAUGUGAAUGGUUUAUUUCAAAACAUUUGAAGCCACUGAAUAAAUUAAGCGCAUAAGUAACGGUGGAUUCCCAAGCGUAGCGGCAAAUAAUUGACAAAUUGCAGCAAAAAACAAAUCAGCAAAUAGAAAAAUUUUGUGCAAAUUGCAGAACUGUGUCAACUGCGCCAUAAAGUAUGCAACGAGCAAACUAAAAUCAGCACAAAUACUAACACACACACACAUGAGGAGAUAAAUGCAAACAGUUGACGAGAAUUCCCAAAGGCCAGAUAGAGUGAAAUUGCGCGCGAAAAAUUCGACUGAUUACCAGCGAUGCAAAUGCAAGCGGCAACUGUGCGUUGGUAUGCGUGUGGGUGUGAGUAAAUGAAAAUUGCGAAAAAGUUAGUGGAAAUUAGGAUAAAGGAAAAAGCAUAAAAAAGUUGCAAAAAAUAUUAAGAAAAAAAAAAUAAAAAAACUAAAAUUAAUUCA
rnacentral:lncRNA from 1 species